UACAGAGGUCUCAAGCGUUGUUCGGAUUCAUUGGGCGUAAAGGGUGCGUAGGCGGCGCGGUAAGUCGGGUGUGAAACUCUCGGGGCUUAACUCCGAAACUGCAUUCGAUACUGCCGUGCUUGAGGACUGGAGAGGAGACUGGAAUUUACGGUGUAGCGGUGAAAUGCGUAGAUAUCGAUAAGGAAGACCAGUGGCGAAGGCGGGUCUCUGGACA
rnacentral:rRNA from 1 species